rnacentral:piRNA from 1 species
UGCCACCAACAUCCACAUCUGCAUGGA